GGUGAUAAAGACUAAAAUGGAUUGGACAGAACUUAAAAGUAAAAUAUAUGCUUCUUCUGUAAAGGAUGGCUCCCAGUAUUUUGUGCUUCUGAUUGUUACAGAUGGUGUUAUCUCAGAUAUGGCCCAGACUAAGGAGUCCAUAGUUAAUGCCUCAAAACUUCCAAUGUCAAUAAUUAUAGUAGGUGUUGGACCAGCAGAAUUUGAUGCAAUGGUCGAAUUGGAUGGAGAUGAUGUAAGAGUCUCCUCUAGAGGAAAAUAUGCUGAAAGAGACAUUGUGCAGAACUGUGAAAUUGAAUGAAAAGAGGCCAACAGCUUCUCUCUACCUGCUCUCAGGGAUAAUUACCAGAAAAAUGGUCAAAAGGCUGACAGCAGCAGGGGAGAAGAGAUUCAUAAACCUUCAAUACAAUCUGAUAGCCUGUUGGUCUUGACUCAGGACAGACUGAGGAGAAAGUGUUCACAAGAUGCCAGGAUCUUAUGUCAGCUCUGAAAUUUCCUUUGACUAAACAUGCUAAACAAAACAAUACAAAACAAAACAAUAAAAAAGAUUAUUUU
rnacentral:lncRNA from 10 species